rnacentral:rRNA from 1 species
ACGAACGCUGGCGGCGUGCCUAAUACAUGCAAGUCGAACGGUCUUUCUAUGGAAGCUUGCUUCCACUGAGAAGAUAGUGGCGAACGGGUGAGUAACACGUGGGUAACCUGCCCAUAAGAGGGGGGAUAACAUCCGGAAACGGGUGCUAAUACCGCAUAGUUUUCUUGAUCGCAUGAUCGGGAAAGGAAAGACGGCCUUUGUGCUGUCGCUUAUGGAUGGACCCGCGGCGUAUUAGUUAGUUGGUGAGGUAACGGCUCACCAAGACGAUGAUACGUAGCCGACCUGAGAGGGUGAUCGGCCACAUUGGGACUGAGACACGGCCCAAACUCCUACGGGAGGCAGCAGUAGGGAAUCUUCCGCAAUGGACGAAAGUCUGACGGAGCAACGCCGCGUGAGUGAAGAAAGGUUUUCGGAUCGUAAAACUCUGUUGUCAGAGAAGAACAAGUUGGAGAGUAACUGCUCCAGCCUUGACGGUAUCUGACCAGAAAGCCACGGCUAACUACGUGCCAGCCGCUGC